UGUAAUGUGUAUUUUGUGGUAAAUGUGAUGUAAGAAAGAAAUGAUGAAAUGAAAUGUAAGGAAUUCGAAAAUGAACAAGAUGAAUACAAUGUAUAUGAUCAAAAAUGAAUCAUAGUACAAGUGAAUGUUCAGUUUCCUUUUUCUUUCACUCGUGGCUAUUGCUUACCCUCGUGUAAGCCGUUUGUGUAUGUUUCCGCUAGUGCUUUUCUCUAUUGAUGAAAAUGUACAUGUGAUGAGCCUUGGACGGAUAGGGGAAACUCUGUCCGUUCGGCGUCUGUUUGACGUGCUCGGGUCGGGCCAAAUUGGUAUCGGUCCCGGGGCGUGACAGAUAUCGUGGUAUCAGAGCCAAGAGUGAAAGAAUAGGAAUGGACCUAGAGACCUAUAGGAUUGGAAGACCUUAAGGAUCUAGGAAAACAUGAGUGACGUGGAAUUAAAGUUAGCGAAAGCAUGUGAUUGGAUUAAGAUGGGACGUCUCUAACGUAAUUAGAGGUUAAGCUUAAAUUUCAUUUAUCCUCUACUUCUAGUGUUGUGUCGGGCGGCCGACGACAUGACGCUUGAGGCAAGGAUGAAUGUGUAUGUUGCUUUCGCCUAAUUGGGUAUGGUCAAGUAAUGUUGGUCAAGUGACUAACGCGAGUUGCUUCUUUUCAGGAAGCAAUGGCACCUCGUGGACGACCGCAGACAAGGUCGAUGCCGGAGGAGCCGAACGUGGAGCCUGAGCGAUCCGGAGCGAGGGGUGACGGAGAGCUUAGGGCGCAAAUGGCCGCGCUUAUCGGAGUAGUGCGGCAACAAGCGGAGUCUGUUCAACGCCAAGGGGAGCAGAUUCAGCGGCUCCAGGAGGCC
rnacentral:lncRNA from 1 species